GUUUUGAUGGAGGCUGCUGGGUAAUUCUGAUGGAGGCUGCUGGGUAAUUCUGAUGGAGGCCGCUGGGUGGUUUUGAUGGAGGCUGCUGGGUAGUUUUGAUGGAUGCUGCUGGGUGGUUUUGAUGGAGGCUGGGUGGUUCUUCCCCUACCUGUCCUCUCUCACUCCCUCCUCUUCUUGAUGUUCCGUUUGGAUAACUGUCUCCCAUCAGGCUACUAGUCUAGUGUAGAAUGGAGGGAGGGAGGGAUAGUUCUUUAAGCCUGUAGAAUGGAGGGAGGGAGGGAUAGUUCUUUAAGCCUGUAGAAUGGAGGGAGGGAGGGAUAGUUCUUUAAGCCUGUAGAAUGGAGGGAGGGAGGGGUAGUUCUUUAAGCCUGGAGAAUGGAGGGAGGGAGGGAUAGUUCUUUAAGCCUGUAGAAUGGAGGGAGGGAUAGUUCUUUAAGCCUGUAGAAUGGAGGGAGGGAGGGAUAGUUCUUUAAGCCUGUAGAAUGGAGGGAGGGAGGGAUAGUUCUUUAAGCCUGUAGAAUGGAGGGAGGGAUAGUUCUUUAAGCCUGUAGAAUGGAGGGAGGGAGGGAUAGUUCUUUAAGCCUGUAGAAUGGAGGGAGGGAUAGUUCUUUAAGCCUGUAGAAGGGAGGGAGGGA
ensembl:lncRNA